UAUUCGGCGAGUAGGUUGGUUUCCUGUCACAAGGGCGUGCGCUCUGUGCUAAGCGCGGAAUUCGCGGCGACCAAAGGGAAUAACAGCUGUACCCUCAAGGAGCUUACAUGAAGUUAUACACAACAAACAAUUGCUAACGCCCUAUAAAGUCAAAAUAUGACUGGUGUUUAAAGAUGAGUAAAAACUUCCUUAGGGACCAAACCAGCAAGUAGACUCAGCUUUGGGAGCCAUUACCCUGGUCCACCUUGAUGUGUCAGCACAACAGAGAGCAGCUUACUUCAUACCCAGCCCUGUAAUGCUUGAGUCACUCAAAUGGUGGUAAAGAGGCAAACUAGAUUGUUUCUAAUCGGUGUGGGAACUGAGGAAUGCAGAAUGGGAAGAAUACUGAGGCUACUUGGGGAUGCCUCUCCCAGUGCUCCUUCAGGAUGCUGCUUCCAUCUGUGUUAAGCCCUGGGUUAACUCUGCAGAGAGGCCCCCAGUCACACAGGUUCCUUCUGACCCAGAGUGACCCCCCUGUGGACGACUGCCGAGUGAGAGCAUGUAUGAUUACCAGAGGUUGCCCAAGCUCCAAAGGAAGCACUCCAUGAUCAACAACCCCGACACUACGUGGAAAUGGACACGACUGAUGAAUGUGAAAAGGAAUCAUUGAAAUGGAAAAUCCUGGAGCUGAAAGUGGCUGUAUCCAACUCUACUCUGUGAAUUUUGUAUUUUUUCUUUUAUUUAUUCAUCAUCUCGACAGACAUUUUUUGCGAAUAUACUACAUGCAAAGCACUACAUUAGGUGCUAGGAAAAGAACUGUGAACAAGGGAAGAGGCCAUGUGAGGACACAGUGAGAAGGCAGCCAUAUACAAGCCUGGAAGAGAGGCUUCACCAGGAAUCAACCCAGAUGGCACCUUGAUCUUGGACUUCUAGCUUCCUGAACUUGUUUGCAGUAGUUUCUCAGGGCAGACAGCUGAGGAUCUAGACAGAUGACCUGGUCCUGUGUGCCUCAUCCACUUCACUCGCAUUUGAGAAGGCCUUUGCAAGUCACAAAGAACUGUUCUGAUGUGAGGAUUUUGUGGUUUUGGUUCCAAGGCACCAGGCUCCUACCUGCACCCAGGCCACAGGUUCACCUUCAGCUGUCACAGAGCCCGGAGCGCUGUUGUGUCUGGAGGAAAAGGAGCUUUUAUUCUUGUGCCCCAAUGCUGCACAUCCCUUCCCGUCGGGUCCUUCCUCAAGAAAAGAGCACUCUUGGCUCCUUAAGUGAGGCUCACAGGCCGAAGUGCCCACAGGACCAGUCAGGGGAGGUCUGUGUGUGAGCCAACCACCUGGCAAAGCAGAGCACUCUUGUUCCAGCUGAAAGGCCAGGAGCCAGCAACUCGGCGAAGUGUGGCCAGGGGGAACAUGGGCCUGGAGUGGCCAGAUCUUCAGACUUUUCAGGAGAACCCGGGAAUCCAGAUUUCAGCUUUUGAUUUUAAAAUUCUUCAGGUGGUGUCUCAAUCUGUAGCAAAGAAGGCCACAAGGCUCCAGGCCUGCACACCUUUACUGGUGGAAAUUAAGCAUCUUCAGAUUAUUUUCCUUUAGCUUCCCGAAGACCAGUCCUCAUGAAGAAAGUGAGGGAAUACUCAUCCUUACUCCCCUCCCACUUCUGUCAGAGGGAACAAUAUUUCCCAAAGUCUGGAAUUCAGACUAGUGCUGAAUAUGUAAGACCAGAGCUACACGAGAGCUCACACCUGCCUUGCACACAGUUGUAUCCUCAGUGCUCCUGCUUCACAGCAGAUGCUCACUGAAAGCAUCCUGACUGAUAAGAGUGGUUAAACUGGUUUCUUCAGUCAGUGAGGAGGGAAUUGGCUCCUGGCUUCACCACAGGAAUUAUACGUCCUCUUCAAAGCUGCUUCCUCCUCUGUGAGAUGCAGACUGCAGGCUCUUGGAGGGUAGGAACCAAAUCCAGCUCUUCUCUUAUGUCUGCAGAAGCAUCAGCCCCAGCUGGAGACGUGCUGUAGCGGUGCACCACAGAUGCUAACUGAAUUGAGGAGGCUGCAUGGAACAGCAAGGAACAGCCUUGCGCUAAGGAAACCAGGUUAUGCAGUCAACAGUUUUGACAGCUACAAAGGGACCCAGGGCAGACUUUUCUCCUUUGCCUGAACUCUUCAAGGAUCCAGAGCCUAGGUACCAGCAGAGCAUUCUUGGGCCCGUCUGCCUGCCACCUCAGAGAGUCCAGAUGAAUUUGGACUGGUUGCUGCACUCUCCUCCGAGGCUCUGAAGCUCCCCCCCCUGUCCAGGCUGAUCUCCCCACAGCUAACUCUGGGAUGCUUCAAAGAAACCCUGCGACAUCUCAGAAAGAAAUGUUAGAUUAAUUAGGCUUACUUGAGAAGCACUGUCAAGUGAUUGGAGAUAAACCUUCUUAGGUUAUAUUGUAUGGGUAAAUGUCAUUAAUAUAGAUAUUCCAAAAUUUAUAUGGAAUUACUAAAAAUCUGGUAUGGCCUGGUUUAAGGUUAUCAGUCAUAAUUCUAGGUGUUAUCUUAGGAUGUUGUAUGUCACAGAAAUAUCCAAGUUUCUUGUCAGUUACAUUAUAAUCAAUCAGAUCUUUAACCAUGCCAUUUUAAGUCCUGUUGUUUAUACACAAUCAUUGUUUUACUCUGAUGCUUUUAUAUAUGAAGAUCUUAGUGAAGAUUCAUAAAAAGGACUUUUGAUAAAUACAAGUUUCUGGUAACUUUUAGAUCUUACUCCUGAACUGGGUAAGAAAUUAAAAAACACUAAUGGAAAACCUGACAACUUCAUCUAGAUGAACAGGAAUUAAUUACAUGGACUGAAUGAAUUGAUGAAUAUGACUUAUAAUUUUAUGACUUUUUUCUGAAAUAUACUGGUUUUUAAUCUCUGUUUUCCAGAAAACCUUUCCUCUUAUGCUAACUAUGACCUUCAACAAGUUGAUAAAGUAUACCUUUGUAAACGAAGACAAAACAUUUAUCUUUUUCUCUCUACCUGAUCCCUCCAGAAUUUGGCUUCUCUAGCUGGCUCUCCCCUGUGGACUUGAUGGCUUAUUUUGACCAGAUUACAACUAGUUAUACUAAUCACUGUUUUAGUUUGUUCUCUCUUGGCAUUUUCAAAUUAUUUAUGCCUUGUGCCUCUCUCUGCUGCACUAUCAGUUUAUUAAUGUUACUAGCUGUAUUACUUAUAUCCUGUUUUAUGAGAUUAUUAUCUCUUACAUUACCAAAGUGUAACCAAGCCUCCAGCAAAAUUAAUGAUGUCUCGAGUUAGUUGAUCAUAUACAUAACUCUACAUAGAAUAGUUGUAAUAGUGCAAUUCUAGAUCUGGGAAGAAGCAACAAGGGAAAACAUUUCCUGGAUCACAACAGACUAAUAAGACAGGUGAUCCAGAGAAUUUUAGAUUAUCAACAGGGUCUAAUCCAAAACAAAUCAGCACAUUGAGUGGCCUGUCAGCAGAAUCUUCGCCUGAUCAAGGGAUGAGCCUUCCUAGCCCUGAGGGACAAAAUUGGUCAUGAAAUGCCUCCCAAACAUUGGUUGAAUUUAUGGCCAAGAGGAAGCACUGUGAGCAAAGAAUGUCACCUGCCAUAUCAGUAAACAAGCCAUCAAGCCAUCAACCUCUGCAGCCACCACCAAUGGUGCAGCCUGAGGGGAUUCAGGAUGGAGAAAAACAGGAUACUGGCUCUAGAUAGUUAAGGUGCAUAUUAAAGGAAUGAUUUCAAUGAGCCAAGGGCCUUGCAUCUUCCCAUACAUAGAAAAGCACUAAAUUCAUUAACUGUAGAUGUCUGUUUUUUCAUUAAUUAGCAGCAAUCUUGUGAUGUUCGACUUCCUGAUUUUAUUUUUGCAAAAACUCCUACAUAUUCCUGGCUCCUCCCUUACCUCUUUGGAACACUCUCUCAGACCUAUCUGAGAGGUUGUCUCCUGGGCUUAGGUCCUCGGUAUGUCUGCUGAAUAAAACAUAAUUCUCAA